GAUGAACGCUGGCGGCGUGCCUAAUACAUGCGAGUCGAGCGAACGGACGAGAAGCUUGCUUUUCUGAUGUUAGCGGCGGACGGGUGAGUAACACGUGGAUAACCUACCUAUAAGACUGGGAUAACUUCGGGAAACCGGAGCUAAUACCGGAUAAUAUUUUGAACCGCAUGGUUCAAAAGUGAAAGACGGUCUUGCUGUCACUUAUAGAUGGAUCCGCGCUGCAUUAGCUAGUUGGUAAGGUAACGGCUUACCAAGGCAACGAUGCAUAGCCGACCUGAGAGGGUGAUCGGCCACCCUGGAACUGAGACACGGUCCAGACUCCUACGGGAGGCAGCAGUAGGGAAUCUUCCGCAAUGGGCGAAAGCCUGACGGAGCAACGCCGCGUGAGUGAUGAAGGUCUUCGGAUCGUAAAACUCUGUUAUUAGGGAAGAACAUAUGUGUAAGUAACUGUGCACAUCUUGACGGUACCUAAUCAGAAAGCCACGGCUAACUACGUG
rnacentral:rRNA from 1 species